GCGGGCCCCGCUGCGGGCCCACUCGCAUGUCCUCGCACCGGGCCCGCUCCCCUGUCCCCGCGCUGUGUCCUGUCGGGCGGCCGCCGGUGCGGAGGGAGCGCUGGGCCCGGCGCUGCCGUGAGGGGCGGUGGGAGCGGCUCUGCCGCCGCGAGGGCAGUUUCUGAGGGGUGCUGUUUAACGAGUCCGUGAGCUUCAGGGGAGCUGAGGUGUAAGGUGGGCUGAUGCCGUGCGAAACCAUUGGGUUCGUGAAUAACGCAACUGCUCAUAAAUACAACAGAGAGCACAGGAUCGUUCAUACAUUUGAAUAUCAGCUCUGGAUUUCUUGAUGUGUUUUGCAUUUCACAAAACGCUGUAGUCUGUUCAGUAAACUGAGUGUUAGUUAAUUUGAUCUGUUCCUUCACUGUCUGCACGAGGUAGGUAGAAACUGCAACUUCAGUGUAUGUUUUUUUAGAAGAUGCACAUAUGACUCUUGCUUGGUACAUGGCAGUUCUCAGUACCCUGUGAGGUUUUGUACAUUGGAGCUAAGACAAAACUAAAUGUUUUUAGAACAAAGUGUUGAGGUUAAAAAGAAGUAGAUUUGUUUGCCUUUAAUUAAAAAAAAAAAAAAGAAAAAGGAAAAACUGGUAUUUGAUCCUUGCUAGAAUGUAGCCUUUGUUCAGGUUUC